rnacentral:rRNA from 1 species
GACGAACGCUGGCGGCGUGCCUAAUACAUGCAAGUAGAACGCUGAAGAGAGGAGCUUGCUCUUCUUGGAUGAGUUGCGAACGGGUGAGUAACGCGUAGGUAACCUGCCUUGUAGCGGGGGAUAACUAUUGGAAACGAUAGCUAAUACCGCAUAACAAUGGAUGACACAUGUCAUUUAUUUGAAAGGGGCAAUUGCUCCACUACAAGAUGGACCUGCGUUGUAUUAGCUAGUAGGUGAGGUAAUGGCUCACCUAGGCGACGAUACAUAGCCGACCUGAGAGGGUGAUCGGCCACGCUGGGACGGAGACACGGCCCAGACUCCUACGAGAGGCAGCAGUAGGGAAUCUUCGGCAAUGGGGGCAACCCUGACCGAGCAACGCCGCGUGAGUGAAGAAGGUUGUCGGAUCGUAAAGCUCUGUUGUAAGUCAAGAACGGGUGUGAGAGUGGAAAGUUCGCACUGUGACGGUAGCUGACCAGAAAGGGACGGCUAACUACGUG